AGUGAACGCUGGCGGUAGGCCUAACACAUGCAAGUCGAACGGCAGCACAGUAAGAGCUUGCUCUUAUGGGUGGCGAGUGGCGGACGGGUGAGGAAUACAUCGGAAUCUACUUUUUCGGGGGGGAUAACGUAGGGAAACUUACGCUAAUACCGCAUACGACCUACGGGUGAAAGCAGGGGAUCUUCGGACCUUGCGCGAUUGAAUGAGCCGAUGUCGGAUUAGUUAGUUGGCGGGGUAAUGGCCCACCAAGGCGACGAACCGUAGCUGGUCUGAGAGGAUGGUCGGCCACCCUGGAACUGGAACACGGUCCAUGCUCCUACGGGAGGCAGCAGUGGGGAAUAUUGGGCAAUAGGCGCAAGCCUGAUCCAGCCAUACCGCGUGGGUGAAGGAGGCGUUCGGUUUGUGAAGCCCUUUUGUUGGGAGAGAAAAGCUGCAGGUUAAUACGCCGCUGUUCUGACGGUACCCAAAGAAUAAGCACCGGCUAACUUCGUG
rnacentral:rRNA from 1 species